AAAAAUUUAGUUAAACUAAUAACAUUAGCUUGUCAAGCUAAAAUUAAUAAUUUAUUAAUUUUUA
rnacentral:tRNA from 1 species